CCUACGGGAGGCAGCAGUGAGGAAUAUUGGACAAUGGUCGGAAGACUGAACCAGCCAUGCCGCGUGCAGGAAGAAUGCCUUAUGGGUUGUAAACUGCUUUUAUAUGGGAAGAAUAAGGUGUACGUGUACAUUGAUGACGGUACCAUAUGAAUAAGCAUCGGCUAACUCCGUGCCAGCAGCCGCGGUAAUACGUAUGUCGCAAGCGUUAUCCGGAAUUAUUGGGCUUAAAGGGCAUCUAGGCGGUUUUUCAAGUCAGGGGUGAAAACUUAUGGCUCAACUAUAAGCUUGCCUUUGAAACUGAAAGACUAGAGUACUGGAAAGGUGGGUGGAACUACACGAGUAGAGGUGAAAUUCGUAGAUAUGUGUAGGAAUGCCGAUGAUGAAGAUAACUCACUGGACAGAAACUGACGCUGAAGUGCGAAAGCUAGGGGAGCAAACAGGAUUAGAUACCCUGGUAGUCCUAGCUGUAAACGAUGAUCACUGGGUGUGGGGAUGAAUAGUCUCUGUGCCGAAGCAAAAGCGAUAAGUGAUCCGCCUGGGGAGUACGUACGCAAGUAUGAAACUCAAAGGAAUUGACGG
rnacentral:rRNA from 1 species